UACGGAGGGUGCGAGCGUUAAUCGGAAUCACUGGGCGUAAAGCGCGCGUAGGCGGCUUUUCAAGUCAGGGGUGAAAUCCCACGGCCCAACCGUGGAACUGCCUUUGAAACUGUAGAGCUUGAGUGUCGGAGAGGGUGGCGGAAUUCCAGGUGUAGGAGCGAAAUCCGUAGAUAUCUGGAGGAACACCGGUGGCGAAGGCGGCCACCUGGACGACAACUGACGCUGAGGUGCGAAAGCGUGGGUAGCAAACAGG
rnacentral:rRNA from 1 species